rnacentral:rRNA from 1 species
GUGCGAAGGUAGCGUAAUCACUUGUUUUCUAAAUAAAGACCAGUAUGAAAGGCAUCACGAGGAUUAAACUGUCUCCUUUUCCUAAUCAGUGAACCUAAUCUCCCCGUGAAGAAGCGGGGAUUAACGUAUAAGACGAGAAGACCCUGUGGAGCUUAAAACAUUAAACACGUGCCCCCCCCUCUCACUACCCAGGUAUCUCACCCGUCGCACUCUGAUUGUAUGUUUUCGGUUGGGGUGACCGCGGAGAAAACUCAACCUCCGCAAUGAAAGAGGCCUCCUCUAAGCAGUAAGUUACAACUUUAAGCAUCAAAAAUUGACAUAAUUGACCCAUAAUUUGAUCAAUGAGCCAAGUUACCCCAGGGAUAACAGCACAAUCCACUUCGAGAGCCCCUAUCGACAAGUGGG